CGAGUAUACACUCAACACUACCGAACUACCUCCAUUAGAUUUUCCCUUCACGUCGCCGUUACCAGUGACCUAACACUAAGUUGGUGCCAUAAAAUGAAAGUGUUGUUUUUCUCGGUCAUUGUACUGACUGCAUGUGGAUGUAUCGCAUGCGUACCGCUCGUUGCUGAACCGGACGAGAAGUGUGAGUGGAGGUACACGUGCUGCGUACUAGACGACCGGGACGGAUCAUGUAGAACGCCCUGCCCUAAGCCUUCCAUCGUUUGUCCGACGGAAGAAACAAAAGACCGAGAUCCGGGAAGGUUAAACACGCUCAAAGUAAUCGUCUCCGUCCCGUGCAAGGAAGGCUACCGAAAGGAUCAUACCGACCGGUGUCGAAAGAUUUUUGAAGAACCUGUCUACUACUGAGACGAAACUGUGCGUGUGGUUCGCGGGAACAAAAUCAUCACUCAACAGUGCCACACUCGGCCAAGAUUUGGAACUAAUGGCCCAGCCAAUAUCACUUCAAACGUUACUUCUGUUUACGUACAAAUCUCCUCCGUAAACACGCGCCCGUCUGCAUACUGAGCUGUACUCGAACGCUUAAAGGCUUACCGUACGGCCUAGUGUCGCGGAACAUUCUCCGUGCGACAGUGUACUAAAGAGCAGCAGCAACAUUGCGUGCCCAGUAGCGACGGCUGGCAAGCACGCAUCACAUCGUGUUUCAGCAACACUGUAUCGUGUUGCUUUCAUGGGAGAGCAUCGGAAAACUUAUUUGCAAUAAAAUACCAACGACUCACAUUAUCCGGGAAAGCAUCAGAGCAUACGGAAUUCGCCCAUCGAGAGAAGCACUGAAAGCGAGGAGCAUCUUGGUGUUACUUGGAAACAACCGCAAUAUCCCACCGCAAUGCCCGGGUGCUGGCCUGUCACCUCACCGCCGCACACGGAACCGUACGUUGACCAAAUCAGACGGAACCCUCCACCGAUUUCCUGCACAGCCAGCUGGUGGUUUGUAACUAUUUAGUUACACAAUAAUAGUUAAUACGCUCCGUAAUCUUAUUGGUUUUGGCAGGUUAAAGCUUCCUUCGUCAGUUUUUCCACCAACACCGGGAAUCGCUACCGGGAACUGAUUUGUAUUUAAUCCGUAGCCUUAAUUAGAUUUGCCCCCCCUCGAUCAGCUCGGCUCACCGUCGACAGGGCCGGCUGGACGUGUGGGCACGUGCAGCCGACGGUUGUGUUAUUCCUUCCCGAUAGGCUAUUCGAUCCGCUACCGGCGUUGGUCCCGCCGGUCGCCACUGCACUUUUGCUCCUCCAUGUGAGUGCUCCUCGCUGCCUGCCGGGCAAUGACAUGCGAAGAAAUCACAUACACAACAAUCCCAACACAGCUUCCCCCUUUUUUACCGGCAAUAAGAUCCGCUACGACGCUUCGCUGCAAAUGGUCCGGAAUUUCCUUUUUCCUUCGUCAACCGAUGGGUGCGCGCCCGGUCAGGCACGCCCGAACUGUGGAGAAGCGAAAUAAGCAGCAAAAAUGGUGCAGUAGUGCGGGAAGCAGGUACUGCGGACGAAGGCACAAUACAAAUAGAAAAAUAAUAAUGUCCGAUUCCGGAUAUUUAUCACGUGCCAUUGCCGGUGAUGUGUAAAUUCCCGUGUAUUCCGGAUUCCUUCCGUUACGGGACAGACGAUUUUUCAUCUUCAGCCGAAAAACAUCGGCCACGCCACUAUCCUCCUGCCCAGCCUAGCGCCAAAGAUCCUGCCAUAACUCCAUUUCGGAUCCCUUCGCGCUGUCAGAAAGCAAAUAAAUUUUACAAUUCCGUUCCAUAUCCGAUGGCGCGCACACACACACACACACACACUCGACACGGUGGCUUCAUUUCUGGUGUUCGGGUUAGACGGUGAAGAAGGAUGCUUACCGCUUCGGGGCUAUGGUGGAAUUGUUUUAGUUCAGUGAUUUUCCUCCCCGUCCCUGCCCCGUCCGAAGAGGGCGAUUCUUCAUCUUUUCUUCAAGGCCGCAAAAUCGAAAGGACCGGCAUAGCUAAGGAUAGCCGUUUUUCUUUGUUGUUCCACACGGUCACUGACCAGACGAUACCUUCGUUCGGGAUGAUGAUGACGAUGCCGUUGGACGCCAUGAUGGCGAUAGAAUUUAUCGCAGCUGAGCUGAAGAAAAUAUAGCAACACACACACACUCACACACGGUCAAAUGGCUCACUAUGCUGAGCAGCAAAUCCAACCUGUUCCGAGUAUUCGAUCGCUGCUGUUCUGCCAAUUCUCACUCAGAGUUGCCCGGUACGGGAAGAAUUGAUAUCCUUUUGAUUUGCCGUGUCGUUCUCGGUCGGCUACGGCUGUUUCCCAUACCGGUGCAAUCAAACAACGGAGGAAAGAGCAAAAUUGAAUUCCCUCCACCUCGCCCCCCCCCCCCUCCCCCCAGAAUAUCUGGUGGACCGAAAACCGUUCACCGUCAAUAGGCGAUAUGUUAUGACGGCCAAUGUAAACCCUUUAAGCCGAAUGGGAGACCCUGUUCGAUUUGACACGAUAGCGCCGAUAUCCCCUGCGAGAUGCCAAUUCGGAGUGAGGUGAACGGAAAGCAGACAGAAUCCGAAAAGGAAAACAACGUGUCAAGCCGGAAAAACCCAAUAGAAAACAACCGAAAUCUGAUAAUCCUUUUCAAAUUAUCCUACGUAUUGUCGAGCGCGAACGAGAUACGGGCGGGCAGGGAGACGGGCGAGAGGGCGGCACAAAAGGCACCAAAUCAAAAUGAUGUCUUCGUCGAUGAUUGCUAGACACUUUGUGGAGGCCAUAUUCGUAGAAGUUAAAGUGAGGGGUUAAGUACAUGGGUGUUAUAUCAUCACAAUUUUUCCAUUUUUUUUUUGCUUCAUGUUUUUUUAUUGUUUUUUUUUUUCGCCCCCUCCCCUGCAGAUUUCUGGAGGUGAGUGAAGGAUGUGAAGCUAGGUUUACAGUUUAUUACAGCUUGAGGGUUGAGGUAUUACACAUAAACUCAUCAGAUUGAUACUCGGGCGAGGGAUGCAUACGCCUCGGGGAAUACAGCACGUGUAAGGAAAGGUACGGACGUAAGCAGGAGCUCCAGAUAACAUGGCGUAUGCAACAGAAACGAGAAUUAUUUUGAAAGUUGUUUAAUGUUUCGAGAAUUUUCCAUAAGCCCUUCAGGGUAUGCAUUGAGAGAUAUGUAAAGAAAUUGCUAUUGACGUAUAAAAUGUGAUCAAACUAUUGCGUGGAUAUUCAAGGCAACAAGACAUCCCUUUACGUUGACAUCCCUGAGAAAUAAACAGAUAAACGUAGCGAAAGGCAAGUAAGAGCUUUAAAAGGGACCCCGUUUGAACUUUAACACAUUCAACAACUUUACUGAGAUCUUCACUUUGUAUAAAUGAAUCUACAUAAGAUUUGAAGUUACAGGACAACUUAAUAAUUCCAAUAGAACGAAAUAAAUAAGUGUAAAUUCAUCAACAAACUGAAUAUCUAAAA